GUAGACAGGUAUACUGAAACAGGUAGACGGGUAUGCUGAAACAGGUAGACAGGUAUGCUGAAACAGGUAGACAGGUAUGCUGAAACAGGUAGACGGGUAUGCUGAAACAGGUAUGCUGAAACAGGUAGACGGGUAUACUGAAACAGGUAGACGGGUAUGCUGAAACAGGUAUGCUGAAACGGGUAGACAGGUAUGCUGAAACAGGUAGACGGGUAUGCUGAAACAGGUAUGCUGAAACGGGUAGACAGGUAUGCUGAAACGGUUAGACGGGUAUGCUAAAACAAGUAUGCUGAAACAGGUAGACAGGUAUGCUGAAACAGGUAGACAGGUAUGCUGAAACAGGUAGACAGGUAUACUGAAACAGGUAGACGGGUAUGCUGAAACAGGUAUGCUGAAACGGGUAGACAGGUAUGCUGAAACAGGUAGACGGGUAUACUGAACCAGGUAGAUGGGUAUACUGAAACAGGUAUGCUGAAACAGGUAGACGGGUAUACUGAACCAGGUAGACGGGUAUACUGAAACGGUUAGACGGGUAUGCUGAAACCACCAGCUAAACUUUUCCUAAUAUUAUCAGUAUUUUAAAUGCUUAUCGCCGCUAGUUGUCUAACUGAUCGAGAGGGAAUGUGUUGGUAAGCACUAGUUACUCAAGUUCAUUAUAUUUCCAGACAUGC
ensembl:lncRNA